GAACUUAUUUAUAAUGGCUGCCA
rnacentral:siRNA from 1 species